GAUGGACAAACGAGGGCCCACCUGUCUCUUUUGUAUUUAUAAAAAUUAUCCUUCAGGUGAAGAGACCUGAAUUUGAUAAAAGGACAAGAAGACCCUGUUGAGCUUUAUUUUUCUAAUAGACCUACUAACUCCAGCAAUACACCACCUCUAUUAUAUAAAUUUAGUUGGGGCGACUGAGGAACAUUUAAAGCUUCCUUUUUUUUUAUAGACUGUCAAGUCCUUUAUGAUCCAGACUACCUGAUCAAAGAAUCGAGCUACCACAGGGAUAACAGGCUAAUCCUCCUUGAGAGCCCACAUUGACAGGAGGGAUUGGCACCUCGAU
rnacentral:rRNA from 1 species